rnacentral:rRNA from 1 species
UACGAAGGGGGCUAGCGUUGCUCGGAAUCACUGGGCGUAAAGCGCACGUAGGCGGCUUUCUAAGUCAGGGGUGAAAUCCUGGAGCUCAACUCCAGAACUGCCUUUGAUACUGGGAAGCUCGAGUCCGGAAGAGGUGAGUGGAACUCCGAGUGUAGAGGUGAAAUUCGUAGAUAUUCGCAAGAACACCAGUGGCGAAGGCGGCUCACUGGCCCGGUACUGACGCUGAGGUGCGAAAGCGUGGGGAGCAAACAGG